AAGACUAUAGACCUGCGGAGUACCUGCGGAAGGAUCAUUAAUGAGAAACUGCCCCUCGCGGGUAGAUCUCCCACCCUUUGUAAACUUACCUUUGUUGCUUUGGCAGGCCCGUCUCCGGGCCGCCGGCUUCGGCUGGCCAGUGCCUGCCAGAGGAUUCUAAAACUCUGUCUGUCAGUGUUGUCUGAGUCUAUAUACAAUCGUUAAAACUUUCAACAACGGAUCUCUAGAUCGGAAGAGCAC
rnacentral:misc_RNA from 1 species